CCCUAUGAAUUAUUUUAAUGGCCGCAGUACUCUGACUGUGCAAAGGUAGCAUAAUCACUUGUUUUUUAAUUGAAAACUAGAAUGAAAGAGUUGACGUAAAAUAAACUAUUUUAAAAAAAAUUUAAUUUGACAUUAGAAUCAAAAGGUUCUAAUUUUAUAGAAAGACGAUAAGACCCUGUGAAAUUUUACUUAAUUAAUAUGAUUAAAAAAAGAAACUUCUCUUAAAAAUAAGUUCUACUGGGGCGGUUAAUAUAAUAUAACUAUUUUAUAAAAAAAACAAAAAUGUUAAAAUUUAAAACACUUAUAUGUAAAAUUGAACAAAUUACUCCAGGGAUAACAGCACAAUUCCUUUUUAUAGAACGUAUAGACAAUGGAGUUUGUGACCUCGAUGUUGAAUUGGAAAUACUUAUUGAAGCAAAAAUUAAUAAUGAUAGUCUGUUCGACUAUUAAACUUCC
rnacentral:rRNA from 1 species